rnacentral:rRNA from 1 species
UCUGGUGAUUAAACAGGGGUCACACCUCUUUCCAUUCCGAACAGAGAAGUUAAGGCCUGUAUCACUGAUGGUACUGCAUGGGUAGCUGUGCGGGGAGAGUAGGUUUUGCCGGAU